UACGGGGGGGGCAAGCGUUGUUCGGAAUUACUGGGCGUAAAGGGCUCGUAGGCGGUCAACUAAGUCGGACGUGAAAUCCCUCGGCUUAACCGGGGAACUGCGUCCGAUACUGGAUGGCUUGAGUUCGGGAGAGGGAUGCGGAAUUCCAGGUGUAGCGGUGAAAUGCGUAGAUAUCUGGAGGAACACCGGUGGCGAAGGCGGCAUCCUGGACCGACACUGACGCUGAGGAGCGAAAGCCAGGGGAGCAAACGGG
rnacentral:rRNA from 1 species